rnacentral:tRNA from 1 species
AAAUUUAGGAUAAAUAUUCAAACCAAAGGCCUUCAAAGCCUUAAACAAGAGUCACCACCCUCUUAAUUUCU